rnacentral:rRNA from 1 species
UCAGGAUGAACGCUAGCUACAGGCUUAACACAUGCAAGUCGAGGGGCAGCAUGGUCUUAGCUUGCUAAGGCCGAUGGCGACCGGCGCACGGGUGAGUAACACGUAUCCAACCUGCCGUCUACUCUUGGACAGCCUUCUGAAAGGAAGAUUAAUACAAGAUGGCAUCAUGAGUCCGCAUGUUCACAUGAUUAAAGGUAUUCCGGUAGACGAUGGGGAUGCGUUCCAUUAGAUAGUAGGCGGGGUAACGGCCCACCUAGUCUUCGAUGGAUAGGGGUUCUGAGAGGAGGGUCCCCCACAUUGGAACUGAGACACGGUCCAAACUCCUACGGGAGGCAGCAGUGAGGAAUAUUGGUCAAUGGGCGAGAGCCUGAACCAGCCAAGUAGCGUGAAGGAUGACUGCCCUAUGGGUUGUAAACUUCUUUUAUAAAGGAAUAAAGUCGGGUAUGGAUACCCGUUUGCAUGUACUUUAUGAAUAAGGAUCGGCUAACUCCGUGCCAGCAGCCGCGGUAAUACGGAGGAUCCGAGCGUUAUCCGGAUUUAUUGGGUUUAAAGGGAGCGUAGAUGGAUGUUUAAGUCAGUUGUGAAAGUUUGCGGCUCAACCGUAAAAUUGCAGUUGAUACUGGAUAUCUUGAGUGCAGUUGAGGCAGGCGGAAUUCGUGGUGUAGCGGUGAAAUGCUUAGAUAUCACGAAGAACUCCGAUUGCGAAGGCAGCCUGCUAAGCUGCAACUGACAUUGAGGCUCGAAAGUGUGGGUAUCAAACAGGAUUAGAUACCCUGGUAGUCCACACGGUAAACGAUGAAUACUCGCUGUUUGCGAUAUACUGCAAGCGGCCAAGCGAAAGCGUUAAGUAUUCCACCUGGGGAGUACGCCGGCAACGGUGAAACUCAAAGGAAUUGACGGGGGCCCGCACAAGCGGAGGAACAUGUGGUUUAAUUCGAUGAUACGCGAGGAACCUUACCCGGGCUUAAAUUGCAGAUGAAUUACGGUGAAAGCCGUAAGCCGCAAGGCAUCUGUGAAGGUGCUGCAUGGUUGUCGUCAGCUCGUGCCGUGAGGUGUCGGCUUAAGUGUCAUAACGAGCGCAACCCUUGUUGUCAGUUACUAACAGGUUCCGCUGAGGACUCUGACAAGACUGCCAUCGUAAGAUGUGAGGAAGGUGGGGAUGACGUCAAAUCAGCACGGCCCUUACGUCCGGGGCUACACACGUGUUACAAUGGGGGGUACAGAGGGCCGCUACCACGCGAGUGGAUGCCAAUCCCCAAAACCUCUCUCAGUUCGGACUGGAGUCUGCAACCCGACUCCACGAAGCUGGAUUCGCUAGUAAUCGCGCAUCAGCCACGGCGCGGUGAAUACGUUCCCGGGCCUUGUACACACCGCCCGUCAAGCCAUGGGAGCCGGGGGUACCUGAAGUGCGUAACCGCGAGGAGCGCCCUAGGGUAAAAC